UACAGAGGGUGCGAGCGUUGUCCGGAAUCACUGGGCGUAAAGGGCGCGUAGGCGGAUAGUUUAGUCAGAGGUGAAAGCCCAGGGCUCAACCUUGGAACUGCCUUUGAUACUGGCUAUCUUGAGUUCGGGAGAGGUGAGUGGAAUGCCGAGUGUAGAGGUGAAAUUCGUAGAUAUUCGGCGGAACACCAGUGGCGAAGGCGACUCACUGGCCCGAUACUGACGCUGAGGCGCGAAAGCGUGGGGAGCAAACAGG
rnacentral:rRNA from 1 species